ensembl:snRNA U6 U6 spliceosomal RNA
GUGCUUGCUUCAGCAGCACAUAUGCUAAAAUUGAAACAAUAUAGAGAAGAUUAUGAUGGCUCUUGUGCAAGGAUGACAUGCAAAUCCAUGAAGCCUUCAAUAUUUUU